GUUGGCGACGUUAGAGGCGCGGGUGUUCGGCUACAUCACUGGGGCGCCAUGGUGCCUGGAGCUGGGCAGUUUUCUCAUCAGAGUGGGGACUGAUGAUGAUUAUUCCCCACCUUCUAAGAGACAAAGACCAACGAGCCACCACAGCCACCAGUCCCAGAACCCGCCAAUGCUGGGGAACGGAAAAUGAGGGAGUUCAACUCUGGCCCUCACAAUCCAGUGGAGGAGACGCAACUCAUCUGCCUCUGUCCCUCUGGGCACGCCUCAUGCCAGGUGCAUCUGUGGACAGGGGCCAUGCUCCUGGGCUUCCAAAGUUGGAGAAAGCUGCCAGGCUCAGGUCUGAAGGCCAGAAUUCUACAGUAAGUCCUACUGAGUCAAGGUGGGAGCAGGGUCGGUAGCUUCCGAGGCUCUGCGGGAGAAUCUGUUUCCUGGCCGUAGAGGUGGCCUGCACUCCUCAGCCUGUGCUGCCCGUCUCGAAUGACUGGAGUUUCCUGCUUCUGUCACUACACCUCCCACCCUCUCCAUCACCUGCUCUGCUCUUACAAGGAUCCGAAGAAAUGGAAUCAUCGUAUCGCUGAUCUACGUAAACAAACUGAAGAAUUGUCUGAAAGAAAAUAUGACAUGAACUUAUGAAUUCAACAGGUGAAGAUUUACAACUUGAUAAAUCAACUUUGUCAGCUCGAGCUGUAAAAGCCAAAGUGGAGAUGCGGUUUCACCAUGUUGGCCGGGCCAGUCUCGAACUCCUGACGUCAAGUGAUCUUCCCGCCUCGACUCCUGAUAUCAAGUGAUCUUCCCGCCU
rnacentral:lncRNA from 1 species